GAGGAGCAAAAAAUCAAUGAAGAUUCAUAGAAAAUGUAGAAGAGGUUUUCAGAGAUUUUGAAGAAGAAGAAGAAGAAGAGAUUUGAGAAAAAAAAAAGAAUAGAGAGAAGAAGAGAGAUGCAUAAGUUAAGAAUUAUGAUAGAGGAAAGAAUAUUAAGUUUAAAGUAUGAAUGGUAGAGUUUGUAAUUAGAUUGAUGUUUUAGGGGUUUUUGGUCAUUUGACAAAUUUUCGAAUAAAAAAUAAAUAAAAAUAAAUGAAAAAAAGAGAGAAGCAUAUGUAAAUAUUCUUUUUCCGGGGAGAGCAUCUUAGCAUUUCAUUCAUAUAUAAUGUAGUGUAAAUUUGAAAUCAUAUUAAUAUUGUAAAAAAAUAUUUUGUUUAAUAUAAAUUAUAUAGAAUAAAAUAAAAUAUUUUCUCUUGAACAGACUAUAUAAUUUUAAGAAAUAUAUAUCUGUUUUUAAACAUGCGUAUGUGAAAAAAUGUAGAUGUAUUUUUCAACAUGUGACAUA
rnacentral:lncRNA from 1 species